rnacentral:rRNA from 1 species
GAAACAGUGGCUAAGACUGGAUAGGAAGAUAAAAGGCAUCUUGUAUCUUUUAAAAGACCUAGUAAUAGGUAUGCUUUAGGAGGGGCUUGCGCCAUAUUAGUUAGUUGGUAGGGUAAUGGCCUACCAAGACGAUGAUGUGUAGCUGGACUGAGAGGUUGAACAGCCACAUUGGGACUGAGACACGGCCCAAACUCCUACGGGAGGCAGCAGUAGGGAAUUUUCGGCAAUGGAGGAAACUCUGACCGAGCAACGCCGCGUGAAUGACGAAGUACUUCGGUAUGUAAAGUUCUUUUAUCAAGGAAGAAAAGCAAAUGGCGAACCAUUUGUUUGCCGGUACUUGAUGAAUAAGCCCCGGCUAAUUAUGUGCCAGCAGCCGCGGUAAGACAUAAGGGGCAAGUGUUAUCCGGAAUUAUUGGGCGUAAAGGGUGCGUAGGCGGUCUAGUAAGUCAGUGGUGUAAUGGCAACGCUUAACGUUGUCCGGCUAUUGAAACUGCUAAACUUGAGUUAGAUAGAGGCGAGUGGAAUUCCAUGUGUAGCGGUAAAAUGCGUAAAUAUAUGGAGGAACACCAGAGGCGUAGGCGGCUCGCUGGGUCUUAACUGACGCUGAGGCACGAAAGCGUGGGGAGCAAACAGGAUUAGAUACCCUGGUAGUCCACGCCGUAAACGAUGAGUACUAAGUGUCGGGUUAAACCGGUACUGAAGUUAACACAUUAAGUACUCCGCCUGAGUAGUACGUACGCAAGUAUGAAACUUAAAGGAAUUGACGGGACUCCGCACAAGCGGUGGAUCAUGUUGUUUAAUUCGAAGAUACCCGAAAAACCUUACCAGGUCUUGACAUGUUUUUGCAAAAUGAUAGUAAUAUCGUGGAGGUUACCAGAAACACAGGUGGUGCAUGGUUGUCGUCAGCUCGUGUCGUGAGAUGUUAGGUUAAGUCCUAAAACGAGCGAAACCCUUAUCGUUAGUUGCCAGCACGUUAUGGUGGGGACUUUAACGAGACUGCCAAUGAUAAAUUGGAGGAAGGUGAGGAUCACGUCAAAUCAGCAUGCCCCUUAUGACCUGGGCUACAAACGUGAUACAAUGGCUGUUACAAAGGGUAGCUGAAACGCAAGUUCUUGGCCAAUCCCCAAAAACAGUCCCAGUCCGGAUUGAAGUCUGCAACUGGACUUCAUGAAGUGGAUGUCGCUAGUAAUCCGA